CUGCGUACCAUUAGCUAGUAGGUAGGGUAAUGGCCUACCUAGGCUACGAUGGUUAGCGGGUCUGAGAGGAUGAUCAGCCACACUGGCACUGCGACACGGGCCAGACUCCUACGGGAGGCAGCAGUUAAGAAUCUUGCGCAAUGGACGAAAGUCUGACGCAGCGACGCCGCGUGAGGGAUGAAGGCCUUCGGGUUGUAAACUUCGGUAGACUGGGAAGAAAAAGUAAGUUCGUUGAGGGCUUACAUUGACGGUACCAGUCUGAAGCCCCGGCUAAUUACGUGCCAGCAGCCGCGGUAAUACGUAUGGGGCAAGCGUUGUUCGGAAUUAUUGGGCGUAAAGGGCUCGCAGGUGGUUUGUUAAGUUGGGGGUUUAAUCUCUGGGCUCAACCCAGAGUCAGCCUUCAAAACUGGCGAACUUGAGUACGAGAGGGGAUAGCGGAAUUCUCGGUGUAGCGGUGGAAUGCGUAGAUAUCGAGAGGAACACCAAUGGCGAAGGCAGCUAUCUGGAUCGUAACUGACACUCAUGAGCGAAAGUGCGGGGAGCAAACAGGAUUAGAUACCCUGGUAGUCCGCACCGUAAACGUUGUAUACUAGUUGUUGGUGGUUUCAACGCCAUCAGUGACGUCGCUAACGCAUUAAGUAUACCGCCUGGGGAGUAUGCUCGCAAGGGUGAAACUCAAAGAAAUUGACGGGGGCCCGCACAAGCGGUGGAGCAUGUGGUUUAAUUCGAUGCAACGCGAAGAACCUUACCUACCCUUGACAUCCAAAGAAUUUUGCAGAGAUGUGAAAGUGCCGAAAGGAACUUUGAGACAGGUGCUGCAUGGCUGUCGUCAGCUCGUGUUGUGAGAUGUUGGGUUAAGUCCCGCAACGAGCGCAACCCCUAUCUUCUGUUACCAUCAUUAAGUUGGGGACUCUGAAGAAACCGCCGGUGACAAACCGGAGGAAGGUGGGGAUGACGUCAGAUCAGCAUGGCCCUUAUAUCCAGGGCUACACACGUGCUACAAUGGCCGGUACAGAGGGACGCAAAGCCGCGAGGUGGAGCAAAUCCCACAAAGCCGGUCUCAGUUCAGAUUGCAGUCUGCAACUCGACUGCAUGAAGUCGGAAUCGCUAGUAAUCGCGGAUCAGCAUGCCGCGGUGAAUACGUUCCCGGG
rnacentral:rRNA from 1 species